GCAGCCGUGGCCUGCGGUUAGGGCUUCGGGUUUGUAACCGAAGGGUUGCCGGUUCGAUCCCCGACCAGUAGGA
rnacentral:tRNA from 1 species